GAGUAACACGUGGGCAAUCUGCCCUUCACUUCGGGACAAGCCCUGGAAACGGGGUCUAAUACCGGAUAACACUCGCCGAGGCAUCUCGGUGGGUUGAAAGCUCCGGCGGUGAGGGAUGAGCCCGCGGCCUAUCAGCUGGUUGGUGAGGUAGAAGCUCACCAAGGCGACGACGGGUAGCCGGCCUGAGAGGGCGACCGGCCACACUGGGACUGAGACACGGCCCAGACUCCUACGGGAGGCAGCAGUGGGGAAUAUUGCACAAUGGGCGCAAGCCUGAUGCAGCGACGCCGCGUGAGGGAUGACGGCCUUCGGGUUGUAAACCUCUUUCAGCAGGGAAGAAGCGCAAGUGACGGUACCUGCAGAAGAAGCGCCGGCUAACUACGUGCCAGCAGCCGCGGUAAUACGUAGGGCGCAAGCGUUGUCCGGAAUUAUUGGGCGUAAAGAGCUCGUAGGCGGUCUGUCGCGUCGGAUGUGAAAGCCCGGGGCUUAACCCCGGGUCUGCAUUCGAUACGGGCAGACUAGAGUGUGGUA
rnacentral:rRNA from 1 species